AGAGUUUGAUCCUGGCUCAGAUUGAACGCUGGCGGCAUGCUUUACACAUGCAAGUCGAACGGGGUGAGGGGGCAACUCCUCAUUCAGUGGCGAACGGGUGAGUAAUGCAUCGGAACGUGUCCGGGAGUGGGGGAUAACGCCGCGAAAGCGGCGCUAAUACCGCAUAUGCUCUAUGGAGGAAAGGGGGGGACCCGCAAGGGCCUCUCGCUUGCGGAGCGGCCGAUGUCCGAUUAGGUAGUUGGUGGGGUAAUGGCCUACCAAGCCUGCGAUCGGUAGCUGGUCUGAGAGGAUGAUCAGCCACACUGGGACUGAGACACGGCCCAGACUCCUACGGGAGGCAGCAGUGGGGAAUUUUGGACAAUGGGGGCAACCCUGAUCCAGCCAUGCCGCGUGCGGGAAGAAGGCCUUCGGGUUGUAAACCGCUUUUAGCCGGGACGAAAGCGCCACGGAUAACACCCGUGGCGGUUGACGGUACCGGCGGAAUAAGCACCGGCUAACUACGUGCCAGCAGCCGCGGUAAUACGUAGGGUGCGAGCGUUAAUCGGAAUUACUGGGCGUAAAAGCGUGCGCAGGCGGUUCGUUGUGUCGGUGGUGAAAGCCCCGGGCUUAACCUGGGAA
rnacentral:rRNA from 1 species